GUAAGGAAUAUUGGUCAAUGGACGAAAGUCUGAACCAGCCAUGCCGCGUGGAGGAUGAAGGUCCUCUGGAUUGUAAACUUCUUUUAUAUGGGACGAAAAAAGGCUUUUCUAAGUCGUCUGACGGUACCAUAUGAAUAAGCACCGGCUAACUCCGUGCCAGCAGCCGCGGUAAUACGGAGGGUGCAAGCGUUAUCCGGAUUCACUGGGUUUAAAGGGUGCGUAGGUGGGUUGGUAAGUCAGUGGUGAAAUCCCCGAGCUUAACUUGGGAACUGCCAUUGAUACUAUUAAUCUUGAAUACCGUGGAGGUCAGCGGAAUAUGUCAUGUAGCGGUGAAAUGCUUAGAUAUGACAUAGAACACCAAUUGCGAAGGCAGCUGGCUACGCGAAUAUUGACACUGAUGCACGAAAGCGUGGGGAUCAAACAGGAUUAGAUACCCGAGUAGUCC
rnacentral:rRNA from 1 species